rnacentral:lncRNA from 10 species
UUGAACGUGGCCUCACAUUUAAGCACCUCACUUCCACUGCAUUUAUCCCUUAUUCUGAGAUGCUUAAAGAUUUGAGGCAAAAAGCCAGGCAGACAAGGCUGAACCAAUUUUUCUAGCCAGUUUGAGAGACAGUUGCCAACACCAUCAACAAGUUGCAAAAGACAAACUCCUAAGGUAGCUCUGCCAGAUCACAAUGUGCUGCUCUUACUGACAUCUUCCUCUUGUGCAGGCCUGGAAGUUUUCCAUCUUGCAGCAGUGCACCUCAGGAAGAUGACAGGUGCAAAGUCUGCCUUUCUGUAUGAAUUGGGAGAAUGGCCAUCAUGAGAGAGGAGAUGGGACGGCCCAACCAGCUUCAUGUCUUCCAUGGCUUGGCACCUUCUAAGGCUAGUCAGUUUUAGGUGACUGUGUAUGUAAGUUGAGGGUCUGGAAGUGGAUUCCCUUAAAACCAUCCUGUGCCUGCAUAUCCCUUGAAAAAUAUUUCUGUACAUGUACAUGGGUA